GAUGAACGCUGGCGGCGUGCCUAAUACAUGCAAGUCGAGCGAACAGACGAGGAGCUUGCUCCUUUGACGUUAGCGGCGGACGUGUGAGUAACACGUGGGUAACCUACCUAUAAGACUGGGAUAACUUCGGGAAACCGGAGCUAAUACCGGAUAAAAUUUCGAACCGCAUGGUUCGAUAGUGAAAGAUGGCUUUGCUAUCACUUAUAGAUGGACCUGCGCCGUAUUAGCUAGUUGGUAAGGUAACGGCGUACCAAGGCAACGAUACGUAGCCGACCUGAGAGGGUGAACGGCCACACUGGAACCGAGACACGGUCCAGACUCCUACGGGAGGCAGCAGUAGGGAAUCUUCCGCAAUGGGCGAAAGCCUGACGGAGCAACGCCGCGUGAGUGAUGAAGGUCUUCGGAUCGUAAAACUCUGUUAUUAGGGAAGAACAAACGUGUAAGUAACUGUGCACGUCUUGACGGUACCUAAUCAGAAAGCCACGGCUAACUACGUG
rnacentral:rRNA from 1 species